rnacentral:rRNA from 1 species
UGAGUACGAGACGCUAAGGCGUCGAAGUAGUGUAUGUCAUACUUCCAAGAAAAGCUUGCACUAUCAUAGAUAAAAAACGCCUGUACCAUAACCGACACAGGUGGGUAGGUAGAGUAUACUAAGGGGCGCGAGAUAACUCUCUCUAAGGAACUCGGCAAAAUAACUCCGUAACUUCGGGAGAAGGAGUGCCUUAUUAUUAAGGUUGCAAUAACAAGAUCCAAGCAACUGUUUAUCAAAAACACAGGUCUCCGCUAAGUCGUAAGACGAUGUAUGGGGGCUGACGCCUGCCCAGUGCCAGAAGGUUAAAGAAGUUGGUUAGCAAUUGCGAAGCUGAUAACUGAAGCCCUGGUGAACGGCGGCCGUAACAAUAACGGUCCUAAGGUAGCGAAAUUCCUUGUCGGGUAAGUUCCGACCCGCACGAAAGGCGUAAUGAUUUGGAUACUGUCUCGGAGAGGGGCUCGGUGAAAUAGACUUGUCUGUGAAGAUGCGGACUACCUGCACCAGGACAGAAAGACCCUAUGAAGCUUUACUGUAACUUGAAAUUGAAAUUGGACUUUAUUCGCGCAGUAUAGGUGGGAGGCGUUGAUUAUAAUCUUGCGGGAUUAUUGGAGCCAUCAGUGAGAUACCACUCUUGUAAUGUUAGAUUUCUAACUUUGAAUCAUUAUCUGGUCAAAGAACAGUUUCAGGCGGGCAGUUUGACUGGGGCGGUCGCCUCCUAAACGGUAACGGAGGCGUACAAAGGUUUCCUCUGAACGGUUAGAAAUCGUAUCUAGAGUGUAAAGGCAUAAGGAAGCUUGACUGUGAGACCUACAAGUCGAGCAGGGACGAAAGUCGGUCUUAGUGAUCUGACGGUACUGAGUGGAAAGGCCGUCACUCAACGGAUAAAAGUUACUCUAGGAUAACAGGCUGAUCUCCCCCAAGAGUUCACAUCGACGGGGAGGUUUGGCACCUCGAUGUCGGCUCAUCGCAUCCUGGGGCGGUAGUACGUCCCAAGGGUUGGGCUGUUCGCCCAUGAAAGCGGUACGCGAGCUGGGUUCAGAACGUCGUGAGACAGUUCGGUCCAUAUCCGGUGUAGGCGUUAGAAUAUUGAGAGGAGCCUUCUUUAGUACGAGAGGACCGAGAAGGACAUACCUCUGGUGUACCAGUUAUCGUGCCAACGGUAAACGCUGGGUAGCUAUGUAUGGAGUGGAUAACCGCUGAAAGCAUCUAAGUGGGAAGCCCACCUCAAGAUAAGUAUUCUCAUC